AUGUACACUAUGAAAGGCCCAUCUGGCUUUCCUAAUAACUUUCUGGGCAUGCGGGUUAAACUUUAACAGCUCGUGAAAAUAAAUUCCCAGUUGACGGCCUUUUGAAGCAGAUGAGUUCCGACUUUGUUGCGUUGAUUUUUAUACCCCAUUUAUGGUAAAAAUCAAAGAGACGGUGGAUGUGUGCUUCUACUUUCUUCACGGCUAUAUGUGCUGACAUUGAGGAGCAGUAGGUCAAGGAAUCAUCGGCGUAUAGAAGGUUCUCGCAGUUGACGAGGUUAGGUUGGUCAGAUGUCAGGAUGCUGUAUAGAAACGGGGCGAGCUUCGAUCCUUGGGCAACUCCAGCCGUGAUGUUCUUCUUUGACGAUGAGCAUUUCUCCAAUUGUACAUA